GUGUACAUUUAUUUACAGAAAAGGUAGGCUCACAUAGAUUGUUUCCUGGCUACCAAUGCUGUUUUUUGUCAGUUUGUGAAGUUUAGGCGAAGUAGGAAGUAAUGUCAGGAAUCUGAUCAAUGUUGGAAUUGGUUAGGUUGGACCAAUAGACCUCUGAAGGUCGCCUACAAAAAAGCUACCAUCUUUGCCCAUAUAAGGAGAUCCAGUAUCUUGAGAUUUUUCCUGUGGGACAAUAACAUGGGGAUUUGGAAUUAUCACACCUGUUAAACUCUCGCGGGCAAUUUAAUUGUUCUGCUC